rnacentral:rRNA from 1 species
AAUGAACGUUGGCGGCGUGGAUUAGGCAUGCAAGUCGCGCGGACCAGCAAUGGUUAGCGGCGAAAGGGAGAGUAACGCGUGGGUUAUCUGCCUCUUGGGCCAGGAUAGCUGCGGGAAACUGCAGGUAAUACUGGAUAAUGUCUUCGGACCAAAGGUGUGAUUCCGCCGGGAGAUGAGCCCGCGUCCUAUUAGCUAGUUGGUGAGGUAAUGGCUCACCAAGGCUUAGAUGGGUAGGGGGUGUGAGAGCACGACCCCCCUCACUGGGACUGAGACACUGCCCAGACACCUACGGGUGGCUGCAGUCGAGGAUCUUCGGCAAUGUGCGAAAGCCUGACCGAGCGACGCCGCGUGUGGGAUGAAGGCCUUCGGGUUGUAAACCACUGUCGUAGAGGAGGAAAUUCUGGGGGGUUCUCCCCUCAGUUUGACCUAUUCUAGGAGGAAGUCAGGGCUAAGUUCGUGCCAGCAGCCGCGGUAAGAC